rnacentral:rRNA from 1 species
GACGAACGCUGGCGGCGUGCUUAACACAUGCAAGUCGAACGAUGAAGCUGGAGCUUGCUCCGGUGGAUUAGUGGCGAACGGGUGAGUAACACGUGAGUAACCUGCCCUUGACUCUGGGAUAACUGCUAGAAAUGGUAGCUAAUACCGGAUACGACCCUCGGAGGCAUCUCCAGGGGGUGGAAAGAAUUUCGGUCAAGGAUGGACUCGCGGCCUAUCAGCUAGUUGGUGAGGUAACGGCUCACCAAGGCGACGACGGGUAGCCGGCCUGAGAGGGUGACCGGCCACACUGGGACGGAGACACGGCCCAGACUCCUACGGGAGGCAGCAGUGGGGAAUAUUGCACAAUGGGCGCAAGCCUGAUGCAGCAACGCCGCGUGAGGGAUGACGGCCUUCGGGUUGUAAACCUCUUUUAGUAGGGAAGAAGCGAAAGUGACGGUACCUGCAGAAAAAGCACCGGCUAACUACGUGCCAGCCGCCGCCGUAA